ensembl:lncRNA
CAAAUGGCGGCCGAUGGAUGUGGGGGGUGGAAGUGGGGGGGGGGGGGGCGAAUGGGGGCGAAUGGUGGCGAAAUGGGUGGAAAAGGAUCCAAAAAAUGGUGGAAAAUGAUGGAAAAUGAUCCAAAUUGAUCCAAAAAUGGUGGGGAAAAUGGAGGAAAGUGAUGAAAAAUGGUGGAAAAUGAUGCAAAAUGAUCCAAAAUGGAGGAAAAUGAUCCAAAAUGAUCCAAAAAUGGUGGAAAAUAAUCCAAAAUGAUGCAAAUUGAUCCAAAAAUGGUGGCAAAAACGGAGGAAAAUGAUCAAAAAUGGAGGAAAAUGAUCCAAAAAAUGGUGGAAAAUGAUCAAAAAUGGAGGAAAAUGAUGGAAAAUGAUCCAAAUUGAUCCAAAAAUGGUGGCAAAAAUGGAGGAAAGUGAUGAAAAAUGGAGAAAAAUGAUCCAAAAUGAUUUAAAAAAUGGAGGAAAAUGAUCCAAAAAUGGAGGGAAAUGAUCAAAAAUGGAGGAAAAUGAUCCAAAUUGAUCCAAAAAUGGUGGCAAAAAUGGAGGAAAUGAUCUAAAAUGGAGGAAAAUGAUCCAAAAUGAUCCAAAUUGAUCCAAAAAUGGUGGGGAAAAUGGAGGAAAGUGAUGAAAAAUGGUGGAAAAUGAUCCAAAAUGAUGAAAAGUGGAGGAAAAAUUGGUAGAAAAUGAUCCAAAAUGAUCCAAAAUGGAGGAAAAUGAUCCAAAAAUGAUCGAAAAUGGUGGAAAAUGAUCCAAAUUGAUCAAAAAUGGGGGGAAAUGGUCCAAAAUGAUCCAAAUUGAUCCAAAAAUGGUGGGGAAAAUGGAGGAAAGUGAUGAAAAAUGGAGAAAAAUGAUCCAAAAUGAUGAAAAGUGGAGGAAAAAUUGGUGGAAAAUGAUCCAAAAUGAUCCAAAAUGGAGGAAAAUGAUCCAAAAAUGAUCGAAAAUGGUGGAAAAUGAUCCAAAUUGAUCAAAAAUGGGGGGAAAUGGUCCAAAAUGGUCCAAAUUGAUCCAAAAAUGGUGGGGAAAAUGGAGGAAAGUGAUGAAAAAUGGUGGAAAAUGAUCCAAAAUGAUGAAAAGUGGAGGAAAAAUUGGUGGAAAAUGAUCCAAAAUGAUCCAAAAUGGAGGGAAAUGAUCCAAAAAUGAUCGAAAAUGGUGGAAAAUGAUCCAAAUUGAUCAAAAAUGGGGGGAAAUGGUCCAAAAUGAUCCAAAUUGAUCCAAAAAUGGUGGCAAAAAUGGAGGAAAAUGAUCUAAAAUUGAGGAAAAUGAUCUAAAAUGGAGGAAAUGAUCCAAAAAUGGUGGGGAAAAUGGAGGAAAGUGAUGAAAAAUGGAGAAAAAUGAUCCAAAAUGAUUAAAAAAAUGGAGGAAAAUGAUCCAAAAAUGGUGGGAAAUGAUGAAAAAUGAUCCAAAUUAAUCAAAAAUUGGGGAAAAUGGUCCAAAAAUGGUGGCAAAAAUGGAGGAAAAUGAUCAAAAAUGGAGGAAAAUGAUCCAAAAUGAUCCAAAUUGAUCCAAAAAUGGUGGCAAAAAUGGAGGAAAAUGAUCUAAAAUGGAGGAAAAUGAUAAAAAAUGGAGGAAAAUUACCCAAAAUGAUCCAAAAAUGGAGGAAAAAAUGGAGGAAAAUGAUCAAAAUUGAUCAAAAAUGGGGGAAAAUGGUCCAAAAUGAUCACAAAAUGGAGGAAAAUGAUCAAAAAUGGAGGAAAAUGAUCCAAAAUGAUCCAAAAUGGAGGGAAAUUAUCCAAAAAUGGGGGAAAAUAAUGAAAAAUGAUCCAAAUUGAUGAAAAAUGGUGGAAAAUGAUCCAAAAUGAUCACAAAAUGGAGGAAAAUGAUCCAAAAUGAUCCAAAUUGAUCCAAAAAUGGUGGCAAAAACGGAGGAAAAUGAUCAAAAAUGGAGGAAAAUGAUCCAAAAAAUGGUGGAAAAUGAUCAAAAAUGGAGGAAAAUGAUGAAAAAUGAUCCAAAUUGAUCCAAAAAUGGUGGGGAAAAUGGAGGAAAGCGAUGAAAAAUGGAGGAAAAUGAUAAAAAAUGGAGGAAAAUUACCCAAAAUGAUCCAAAAAUGGAGGAAAAAAUGGAGGAAAAUGAUCAAAAUUGAUCAAAAAUGGGGGAAAAUGGUCCAAAAUGAUCACAAAAUGGAGGAAAAUUACCCCAAAUGAUCCAAAAAUGGUGAAAAAUGGUGGAAAAUGAUCAAAAAUGAUCCAAAAUGGAGGAAAAUGAUCCAAAAUGAUCACAAAAUGGAGGAAAAUUAUCAAAAAUGAUCAAAAAAUGGUGAAAAAUGGUGGAAAAUGAUCAAAAAUGAUCCAAAAUGGAGGAAAAUGGUCCAAAAUGAUCACAAAAUGGAGGAAAAUUACCCCAAAUGAUCCAAAAAUGGAGGAAAAAAUGGAGGAAAAUGAUCAAAAUUGAUCAAAAAUGGGGGAAAAUGGUCCAAAAUGAUCACAAAAUGGAGGAAAAUUACCCCAAAUGAUCCAAAAAUGGAGGAAAAAAUGGAGGAAAAUGAUCAAAAUUGAUCAAAAAUGGGGGAAAAUGGUCCAAAAUGAUCACAAAAUGGAGGAAAAUUACCCCAAAUGAUCCAAAAAUGGUGAAAAAUGGUGGAAAAUGAUCAAAAAUGAUCCAAAAUGGAGGAAAAUGAUCCAAAAUGAUCACAAAAUGGAGGAAAAUUAUCAAAAAUGAUCAAAAAAUGGUGAAAAAUGGAGGAAAAUGAUCAAAAAUGAUCAUAAAUGAUGGAAAAAUGGAAUAAAAAUUGACGGAAAAUGGUGAAAAAUGAGGAAAAAUGGUUGAAAAAAGGACCAAAAAAUGGGAAAAUGAGGGAAAAAUGGGGAAAAAUUUGAAUAAAAAUGAGGAAAAUUUGAAUGAAAAAUGGGGGAAAAAUGGGGAAAAUGGGAAAAAAAUGAGAAAAAAAUGAGAAAAAAUGGGGAAAAAAUGAAUAAAAAUGAGGAAAAUGAGGAAAAAAAUGAAUAAAAAUGAGGGAAAAUGAGGGAAAAAUGGGUCAAAAAAUGAGGAAAAAAAGAAUAAUAAAUGGUUCAAAAAUUAGGAAAAAUUGAAUAAAAAUGAGGAAAAAUUGAAUGAAAAUUGGGAAAAAAUCGGGAAAAAAUUGGGAAAAAUGAGUAAAAAAUGUGAAAAAAAUGAGAGAAAAUGAGGAAAAAAUGAGUAAAAAUGAGGGAAAAAAAUGAGGAAAAAAUUAAAUAAAAAAUGAUCAAAAAUGUGGAAAAAUGAGGAAAAAAAUGGUUAAAAAAAGCCUAAAAAAUGAGGAAAAAUUAUUCAAAAAUGGUUUAAAAAGACCAAAAAAUGGGAAAAAAUAUGAGAAAAAAAUGGGGAAAAAAAUGAAUAAAAAUGAGGAAAAAUUGAAUGAAAAAUG